rfam:Myotis davidii contig55628, whole genome shotgun sequence.
AGAGGCCCUCCAUGGCCUGGGCAGGAUGCUUGCCUCGUCGCCGCGGUGACAAAGCAAGCAUUCAGCCAGGCCACUCACGCUGCCCGC